UAAUUCCUAGGACUAGCCUUCAGGUUUGGUUUUUCAGAGUUUGUUCCACCAUUUUGCUUUAGACUUGUUUGGUACACAUCGUUGUUGUCGCUGAGCUAUGGCACCCUCGUUUGCUUGCAGGUUUUACCAGCCGGAUUUCCUGGAUCACGCGUCCCCCUCUUAAUCUUCAACGCUCAUUCCAUGCCCCUCCCUCUCUUGCUCCUCCUAGAAACUAUAAAAGUAAUGGUUUUCUUAAAGUUUCUUGCAAUGGGGCCUUGAAUCAAAUGCGUGCAGCUAUCUGUGACAUGGUAGCUGUUGCCAGAUUCUUAAAUCUCACUUUGGUUGUUCCAGAACUUGACAAGAAAUCAUUCUAGGCAGACCCUAUUGAUUUUGAGGAUAUUUUCGAUGUCAGACAUUUCAUUGAUUCUCUAAGGGAUGAAGUUCACAUUAUCAGAAGGCUGCCAAAAAAGUUUAGUAGGAAAUAUGGGUUUGAAGCUUUCGAGAUGCCUCCAGUUAGCUGGUCAAAUGGAAAAUACUACUUAGAACAGAUUCUACCACUGUUCAGUAAGCAUAAGGUAGUACACUUCAAUAGAACUGAUACACGACUUGCAAAUAAUGGGAUCCCACUCAAUCUUCAGAAACUAAGAUACCGCGUUAAUUUCCAAGGACUGAAAUUUACUCCUCAGAUUGAGGCAUUGUGGCACAAAUUGGUUUGCAUUCUUCAAGAAAAGGGACCCUUUGUGGCAUUG